rnacentral:rRNA from 1 species
AUGGCGUGGCCGUCGGCCGGAGGCAGAGCAGGGUGCUGCCAGCGGGAGAGGCACCCCUCCCUGCUUCUUGGCGAGCGUUGGCACUUCUUCCAGGCCCGCUACUUCGUCGGGGAGGACGAGAUCAACCUGCUCCAGGAUGGAGUUGAAACUCUUCAUCUUUGUGUAGCAGCAGCAGAAUUACAAGUAAGAAACAUAUUGCAUGAUAAAGCACUAAUGCCGCUGGGGAGACAGGCUAUGAGUGAUGGGAGAGCACUUGUUGUCAGGGCUGGCUACGGCGGCAACAAGAUAACAUUCACGGUAGUGAUGUGCUACCUCACGGCGGCCUCCGACGGGCUCAUUCUUGGAUACGACGUCAGAAUCACAGGUUCUUUGUACCACGGACUUUGA